rnacentral:lncRNA from 1 species
CUAGUAUAUGUUGCUACUAAAACUAACAUUGACUGAAUGGAAAGUAGGCUAAAUUAACAUAAUAAAACAGGCAUAGACACGUGAUACAGUUACCACUCCAUUGAUCAGCAGCUGAGAGUAAGAGAGAGGGUGUGUACAGUGGGGAGAGGGGAGAGAGGAGAGAGAAGGUGAAGAGAGGUAAUUCAAAGAGAGAGAAAAUGUGCUAUUCACAAGGCUUUAAACAGGUUAGCCCCUCCUUCUGCUGGACACACCUCCCUUAGUCAAUCCCUUAGGAUGUAACAGAAC